UACGUAGGUGGCAAGCGUUAUCCGGAAUUAUUGGGCGUGAAGCGCGCGCAGGCGGUUUCUUAAGUCUGAUGUGAAAGCCCACGGCUCAACCGUGGAGGGUCAUUGGAAACUGGGGGACUUGAGUACAGAAGAGAAGAGUGGAAUUCCACGUGUAGCGGUGAAAUGCGUAGAGAUGUGGAGGAACACCAGUGGCGAAGGCGACUCUUUGGUCUGUAACUGACGCUGAGGCGCGAAAGCGUGGGGAGCAAACAGG
rnacentral:rRNA from 1 species